UACGUAGGGUGCGAGCGUUAAUCGGAAUUACUGGGCGUAAAGCGUGCGCAGGCGGUUCGUUGUGUCCGAUGUGAAAGCCCCGGGCUUAACCUGGGAAUGGCAUUGGAAACUGGCGAGCUUGAGUGCGGCAGAGGGGGUGGAAUUCCGCGUGUAGCAGUGAAAUGCGUAGAGAUGCGGAGGAACACCGAUGGCGAAGGCAGCCCCCUGGGUCGACACUGACGCUCAGGCACGAAAGCUAGGGGAGCAAACAGG
rnacentral:rRNA from 1 species